GACGAACGCUGGCGGCGUGCUUAACACAUGCAAGUCGAACGAAGUGGCGAACGGGUGAGUAACGCGUAAUCAACCUGCCCUUCAGAGGGGGACCACAGUUGGAAACGACUGCUAAUACCGCAUACUGAAAGUGGGGAUUGCGUCUGAUUAGCUAGUUGGAGGGGUAACGGCCCACCAAGGCGAUGAUCAGUAGCAGGUAUGAGAGGAUGAACGGCCACAUGGGGACGGAGACACGGCCGAGACUCCUACGGGAGGCAGCAGUGGGGUAUCUGCCGCAAUGGACGAAAGUCUGACGAAGCAACGCCGCGUGAGUGAUGACGGCCUUCGGGUGGUAAAGCUCUGUUAAUCGGGACGCGGUACCGGAAUAGAAAGCCACGGCUAACUACGUGCCAGCAGCCGCGGUAAUUC
rnacentral:rRNA from 1 species